AGAGUUUGAUCCUGGCUCAGAAUCAACGCUGGCGGCGUGCCUCAGACAUGCAAGUCGAACGAUUAAAGCUCCCUUCGGGGAGUGCAUAGAGUGGCGUACGGGUGAGUAACACGUAAGUAAUCUACCCUCGAGUGGGGAAUAACGUUCGGAAACGGACGCUAAUACCGCAUAAUGCAGCGGCACCGCAAGGUGACAGUUGUUAAAGGAGCAAUUCGCUUGAGGAGGAGCUUGCGGCAGAUUAGCUUGUUGGUAAGGUAAUGGCUUACCAAGGCUACGAUCUGUAUCCGGUCUUAGAGGACGGUCGGACACACUGACACUGAAUAACGGGUCAGACUCCUACGGGAGGCAGCAGUCGGGAAUUUUGGGCAAUGGGCGAAAGCCUGACCCAGCAACGCCGCGUGAAGGAUGAAGUAUUUCGGUAUGUAAACUUCGAAAGAAUGGGAAGAAUAAAUGACGGUACCAUUUAUAAGCUCCGGCUAACUACGUGCCAGCAGCCGCGGUAAUACGUAGGGAGCAAGCGUUGUUCGGAUUUACUGGGCGUAAAGGGUGCGUAGGCGGUGCUCUAAGUUUGGUGUGAAAUCUCCCGGCUCAACUGGGAGGGUGCGCCGGAAACUGGAGUGCUGGAGUGUGGGAGAGGAAAGCGGAAUUCCUGGUGUAGCGGUGAAAUGCGUAGAGAUCAGGAGGAACACCUGCGGUGUAGACGGCUUUCUGGACCAUGACUGACGCUGAGGCACGAAAGCGUGGGUAGCAAACAGGAUUAGAUACCCUGGUAGUCCACGCCCUAAACGAUGCAUACUUGGUGUGGGCCUUUCACUGGGUCCGUGCCGGAGCAAACGCGUUAAGUAUGCCGCCUGGGGAGUACGGUCGCAAGGCUGAAACUCAAAGGAAUUGACGGGGGCCCGCACAAGCGGUGGAGCAUGUGGUUUAAUUCGACGCAACGCGAAGAACCUUACCUGGGCUCGAACGGCGGACGACGCCCUUUAGAAAUAGAGGGGUUUCCUUCGGGAACGGCCGUCGAGGUGCUGCAUGGCUGUCGUCAGCUCGUGUCGUGAGAUGUUGGGUUAAGUCCCGCAACGAGCGCAACCCUUGUCCUGUGUUGCUAAUCUUCGGAUGCACUCUCAGGAGACCGCCAGCGACAAGCUGGAGGAAGGUGGGGAUGACGUCAAGUCAGCAUGGCCUUUAUGUCCAGGGCUACACACGUGCUACAAUGGGCAGGACAGAACGUGGCGAACCCGCGAGGGGGAGCAAAUCGGAGAAACCUGUUCUCAGUUCGGAUUGCAGGCUGCAACUCGCCUGCAUGAAGCUGGAAUCGCUAGUAAUGGCAGAUCAGCAUGCUGCCGUGAAUACGUUCCCGGGCCUUGUACACACCGCCCGUCACAUCACGAAAGUGGAUUGUACUAGAAGUUCGCAGGCUAACCCGCAAGGGAGGCAGCGACCCAAGGUGUGAUUCAUGAUUGGGGUGAAGUCGUAACAAGGUAACC
rnacentral:rRNA from 1 species